rnacentral:lncRNA from 1 species
CAAUUCCAAGAACUAGUCUGAUCUGAACAUUACAGCACACACACUGCUCAAUGUUUACAGAAAUUUAGAGAAUUAACCACAAUCACGAAUAUACAACACCACAGUUACUCGAAUUAACAACGAUCACAAAGAUAUGUAUGACUCAAAACAUAUAUAUGAUAGUACAAGUCUGACUCGAUAAUGAGCAGCUCAACCACUCACAAUUUCACAUACAUUGUAGUAACUAAAACAUAGAGGAGGCACGAAUCAUGUAUACCGAACAAUACGCAAAGUUUACAUUACAGUUUUCAUAUAUUACAAAGAGUGAGAGGGGGAAAGAAGCUCAGGUUUGUGAAACAGCAACAAUAGUAGUAGGCGGUUCAGACUUUAGAGAAGAACAAUAGUUAUGGUUCAGAGAAGGAGGGAAUUAAGGAGAAAGGAGCAGCAGCAGGAUUUGAGGAAGCAGCAUCAAAGAUGUGAGAGGAAUUGGGAGAAGGUGGAGCUGCAGUGAGGCAAAGGAAGAAGACAAGGGAAGCAGAGGAAGCAGCAGUAGAUGGAGAAGAGAAGAAGGAUCAGUGGCAAGGUUUGGGAAGGAGGAGCGGCAUCUGGGCGUUAAGGAGAGGGAGCAGCAGAUGUUGAUGGAGUGGCGCGGCGGCGGCAGAGAAUGAUGGACGAUGCUGCUAGCUGGCUGGGAGGAUGGCGCUUGUGGAGAUGGCGGAGAUGGUGGUGACUUGCGGCGCUGAUGGAUGGGAGGCGCACCACCACGCCGGCCUAGCCGCGGCGGUGGCCGGAGGUGGAGAAGGAGGCGGAGGAAGAUGGAGAUGUGAAGCCUGGCCCUAAGGGGAUCGGUGGCUAGCGCUAGGGAUUUGAUCCCACGAUUAGAUUUGCCACUUUUUUGAUUUAGCUCUCCUGCUCCCUUCUUUCUUCACAAGCACAUCCCUUCCCUUCUCUAGUUUGGCCCUCGGUUUCUUCUUCCUUCAUGCUCAGGUCCCCCUUCUUUCUUUCCUUCCUUGUCUUGUAUUCUUCGGCCUCUUAGUCAGAAUCUUGAGGUUUAUAGUGCCUUUGUGCACUUUUCUGCAGAAGAAACAAAUGACGAGUAAAUGAUCUUUUAUAUGAUUUUCAUCCAAAUAUAUCAGAGUUCAUAGUAAGAAUGGAUGAACAUAUAUCAAUAAAUGGUGUAUAUAUGUGCCAAAAUUAUGUAUAUGAAAUGUGCUUAUCAAGUUCCCCCACACUUAAAUCUUUGCUUGUCCUCAAGCAAAGGAAUAUGACAAGAGCAAGAUUGUGAACAGUGUGCUGACUAGAGAAUGCCAAGUGAAGUAGAUCUCCAAACAAAGCAUGAUUUGAACUUUGCUAGUGAGAAUCAAUGGUUAAGAGUGCUACAAAGCAGUAGGAUACUAGUAAGCAUGACCAUUUUAAACUUUUACAAUGAUAAAAGAGGAUCGACAAGUUUAAGUGAUGACUGUGCCAAAUGGUUUGAAAAGAGAGCAUGAUCCCGAAAACAAAAUGAACUGGAAUUAAAUCUUGUGAUCAAAUCACUUAUUUACAAAGAUAUAACAUUGUGGUUGAACCACUUAUUGAAUUUGAAAGAAACACACAUAUUAUUUUAUUAGUCUCACCGAAGGAACAUACCACCGAUCCCGAGAACAUGGUAUACACCUAGCUCAACCAAUUAUUAUUAAAAAAUUGUUUGUCUCCCCAAAGGAACAUACCAUCGAUCCAGAGAACAUGGUAUACACCAGGUUCGACAAUUACAUAUUUAUUUAUUAAUUACUGCCCAAGCUAACCUGAUUUCACAUGCCACAGAUCCAGGGAACAUGACAUGCUACUGUAGGUAGUCAGACUUAUUAUUCAUUAUAAGAUAUAAUUUUUUUGAACAAAAACAAGAAUCAUCACUCAACCAUGUCUGGUUCACAUGAUACCGAUCCAGGGAACAUAGCAUGCUACUGCAUAGUGGUAAAGUGAUUGCUCUGAAUGGGAACAAACUUGGCACAAAUACAUCAUCUAAACAUAGUGAUCUAGGUGUAUCAAGGUAAAUGCAGAAAAUGAUUAAGUUUACUAGUGCACUAGGGAUUUGAGCACUCAAAACUAAUAGUUCUCACUAAUUUCAUCAAAGCAAUCAUUGUAUAGAUCACUAGUUUACAAGGCAUUCAGAAAUCAGUUCACAUAUUCACAUCAAGCACCAUAUGUCAAAGGUAAAAUUCAGUGGGAUAACAUUAAGAAAUGGCUCAAGCAACCCAAAUAUCAAAUGAUUUCAACAUGUAUCAAUGGAUGAUAUAUUAAGAUUGGGAUCAUGAAACAGCUCACCGGGCUUUGAUGUGGCACUCGCUCGACACUCUCUAAACUGCAGCUCUUGUCUUUUUGCUUCUCUAUCCCCAUGCCUGCUCCAGCUUCACUCUUCUUCGCGUGUGCCCAUUGCGUCUCCUCAUCACCAUGCCGUGAAUGGUACACAAGCAUCAACCUGAAAGAACACUCAACAACCAAGCCAAUACAAGUGACAAAGAGAAUGCCCUCUAAGUCAUCGAUAGAGUACCCUAUCAUAUAAGUAUAUGUAUUGAGCAAAUCAGGAACAUGUAUCAACAACAAGUCACAUGGUGCAUAGGCAAUAUCAGCGAUAUGACAUGUCUUGUCUAGAAAGCCGAGAUCAUACCUGACAUAGUUAGGAAGAAGCUUUAGGACUACCUCAAUUGAAGAUACCAAGUGAGGUGUGGUAGUAGAAAUUUCAAUCGGACUCGUGUCAACAAGUGAAAUAGUAGAGCUUGGCUCCUUGACAUCUGAAUCCACGUCACCAUAAUCAACCAUGAAGCUCUCCAUAUCAGGCUCAAGUGUUGAGGAAUCCAUGCGGCUAACAUCAUCGAAGGCGAACUUCUCCAUAUCUGGCUCUAGCAGCACAUAAUCAAUAUCAUCUAAAGGUUUCUCCUCAAUAUCAAAAGCAACUAACUGCAGCUCUGGCUCAUUCAUGGAAGAAUCAUCACAAUGCAAAACUGAAUCUCCAACACUAGUAUCCAUAUGAUCUGUAGCGUGCGUGUCAACUAGAAUGGUAUCAUCAUCGUCAAAGAUAAUCCAUGCAAGCUCAAUCUUGUCACACUGAGAUAGAGGUUCAGGCUUUUGUGUAACAAUUGGUAGCUGAGGUGUAGUGAUUUGUCGCAAGCAAACCAAUGAAUCAGAGGGUGGCUUCUAAUUGUACCACUGAAGUUGGUGGAAAGCUAUGCUCUCAAUCAGCAGAAAAGCAUCAUCAAGUGUCUUGUUUGCAAUAGCUCCACCCGCUGCCAUAUCAACGUAAGCUCGAGUGUCCGAAGUCAAUCCUCUAUAGAAUAUCUGCAACUCUAACCAUCUCUCGAGCCCAUGUUUAGGACAUCUCCUGAAUAAGGCUUUGUAUCUCUCCCAAGCAUCAUACAAGCUCUCGCCUUCACGCUGAACGAAAUUGAAGAUCUCAUCUCGAAUUGCGGACUGUUUGUGUAGUGGGAAAUAUUUAUCCAAUAAAGCUCGUGACAUCUCAUUCCAACUGUAUGACCUUGAUGGCAAGGAUCGAUACCAAGCACGAGCAUCAUUGCGAAGAGAGAAUGUGAACAACCUGCACAUGAUUGCAUCUUGAGGAACUCCAUGGUACUUGACUGUAUCUGAAUACUCCAUGACUCGGUGUAAGUGCUCAUAGGGAUCCUCAGUAGACUGUCCUCCAAACUGUUGUUGUUGAACCAAAGCAAUAAGACCAGGCUUUAGCUCAAAAUUCUCUGCCUCGAUAGAUGGCCAAAUUGGUCCUGCGAGACAGCACUGGCUGCUUGGCAUCCAAAGAUCACGAAGCAUAGACAUCUCUCAACCAAGUGUAGUUGUCAAUCAAUCUGUAAAUAGUUCAGAUUUCCUACGCACAAUCAUAAACAGUAAACACUAGUUAGAAGGUUAGUAUCCUAAUAAGCCAAAGCAACAGCAAGGAAAAGAAAAUAAAAUAAAAGAAACAUAGAAAAUGAAAUACACGACGAAUUAAACACGUAACUAAAAUAAACCUAGUCUAUAGCCAACAUAAUCUCUCGAUGCUAGUCCCUGGCAACGGCGCCAAUAUAAUCAAUUAUAAGUAUAGUGGGGUUUUUACGCCCAAACUGCGAGUGUCGUGUUCUCCACAGGGACUAGGCGACAGCAACGAUGCUCGGCUAAAGCUAGGUGAAGAAUUCAGAUGAUGAUUGUGAGGAAAUAUAGACCUAAACUAACCAAAGUCGACGGCAAAGAAAAUGCAAAGAGCACAGUGAGAUUCAGAUUUUACUCAGUCUUUUUGGUAUUAUUUUUUUAUUUGAGAAAAUAGAAACUACAGGCAAACAUCCUAAACAAAGGGGAUUAACAAGACAAGAUCACAUUUAUGUAUACAAAACUAGCAAGUAUAAGAUACACGGAAGGAACAGAGUUAUAUGACAGGAGAUAGAUGACUCAUAUCUCAAACAUAUAUGUCACAGGGACAAAGCUAGCACUGAUCACACAUAACAUGCACUAUAUCUUACAAGUACGAUACUGAACAAAUAGCAAUUCCAAGAACUAGUCUGAUCUGAACAUUACAACACAUACACUGCUCAAUGUUUACAGAAAUUUAGAGAAUUAACCACAAUCAUGAAUAUGCAACACCACAGUUACUAGAAUUAACCACAAUCACAAAGAUACAUAUGACUCAAAACAUAUAUAUAUGACAGUACAAGUCUGACUCAACAAUGAGCAGCUCAACCACUCACAAUUUCACAUACACUGUAGUAACUAAAACAUAGAGGAGGCACGAAUCAUGUAUACCGGACAAUACGCAAAUGUUACAUAACAGUUUUCAGAAAUUACAAAGAGUGAGAGAGGGAGAGAAGCUUAGGUUUGUGAAAUAGCAACAAUAGCAGUAG